GGGAGGUGUCCUUCUGGCCAGUUCUGUAACUCUAAAAAAAUUUCACCAUUUAUCCACAAGAGUCCUUCACAUCAUCACAUUGGUGGCACAGGCCUUGGAAGCAGUCUCCCUGGGGCAGUUCCGGCUCAAUCAUCAAGACAGGGCAGUGGUGGCUGCACGCUUUCCUCCUGCCUAAUGCCCGUCUUAGAGGCUCUCAUUGAGCUUGGUGACUCCCCACCCCAACACAUGCCUGCAGCACCAGGAACCCUGCUUUGCAUGUAGUGCUAGAUAUUUGCUUAAUAUUUAUUAUAAUGACUAUUUAAUCAUCUCCCUUCCCAGAUGUUUGGCUUUCCUGGCAUCUUCUUCCACAGCACCCUUUCAGCUUUGUCUUCCUGGGUUGUCA
rnacentral:lncRNA from 1 species